rnacentral:rRNA from 1 species
UACGUAGGUGGCAAGCGUUGUCCGGAUUUACUGGGCGUAAAGCGUGCGCAGGCGGUUUUGUAAGCCAGAUGUGAAAGCCCCGGGCUUAACCUGGGAAUGGCAUUUGGGACUGCAAGGCUUGAGUGCGGCAGAGGAGACUGGAAUUCCUGGUGUAGCAGUGAAAUGCGUAGAUAUCAGGAGGAAUACCGAUGGCGAAGGCAGGUCUCUGGGCUGACACUGACGCUCAGGAGCGAAAGCGUGGGGAGCGAACAGG